GGGCAUGUAGCUUAGCUUGGUUGGAGCACCCGGCUGAUAACCGGGAGGUCGGCAGUUCAAAUCUGCCCAUGCCCA
rnacentral:tRNA from 1 species